UACAGAGGUCUCAAGCGUUGUUCGGAUUUACUGGGCGUAAAGGGCGCGUAGGCGGUCAGCACAAGUCAGUUGUGAAAUCUCCGGGCUUAACUCGGAAAGGUCAACUGAUACUGUGCGACUAGAGUGCAGAAGGGGCAACUGGAAUUCUCGGUGUAGCGGUGAAAUGCGUAGAUAUCGAGAGGAACACCUGCGGCGAAGGCGGGUUGCUGGGCUGACACUGACGCUGAGGCGCGAAAGCCAGGGGAGCGAACGGG
rnacentral:rRNA from 1 species